UUAAUUAUAUAAGUGGAAUCUCUCUAAAAGAUUAGCAUAAUCAUAUUCAGUUAAUUUUAUACAAAAAAUUAUUAUCAUCAUGGGUAUCACAAAAGCUUUGGUGAUUUUUCAAAUUAUCAUAUUAGCAGUUUUGUUGUCCAACCAUAUUGUUAUUGCCUCAGAUGCACAGAUCAACAAACUUCCGGAUAAUUGCAUCGCUGUGUGUAUUAGAGGACAUGGGUAUGGGUCACGAGAAAUAUAUUGGUUACGAGAAUGUUCCGCAGACUGUAUUAAAAGGGGAUAUCACAAUGGAGAUUGUGUAAAGACGGAUAUCACACUUAGUUGUUGUUGUUAUUAGUCCCCUAAUGCUAAGCAAUUCAAACGUUGUAUUUAUACAAUUCUAGCAUCGGACUUAUGAUUAUCGGGUUAAUUUAUAAUAAAUAAAAUGAAAUAAAAAGUAAUGUGUUUUUAUAU